AAAAAGUCCCCGCAUUUCUGAGAAAUUAACCCGCAAUCCUCGUCAUAAGUCAUCCCCGAACCAGUAGGAAGGAUACAAAAUAAAAAAGAAUAGCGCAGCCACCCGCAGUCCCGCACGACCUUGCCUCCUCGAUCCCAUCUCGACAUCCAUCCCGCCGCCACCUCCUGCCCCGCCCCACCGUGCGCCGCCCGCCGCCGCCGCGCCUGCGCCGACGUCCCCCGUAUCCAUGCUCCUCUGUCCGAAUCCCGCCGCCGCGCCCGUCCCGCUCACCGUGGCCGAUGAUCGUUUCCCUCCCCAAACGGCGGCCAUAAUGAAGGGCGUCGCCCAGCUCCUGACCGGCGGACGGACUCGCCGGGUCCCCGCUCCUCGGGGCCAGCCCCUCCUCCGUGGAUCGCGCAUCGGCUUGGAGGCCCCUCGGGGCUGCCGCCGGUGCGGGAGUUCCUGCGCGGCCGUGCGGGCUGCGGACCGAGCGGCGGGGCCCGUGUGCGUUCCCGGCGAAGGCUUGCUGGGGCUGGCCGGGAUCUGAGGUCCAUGAUGCAGUUCCACCUCUCUCCGUAGCACAAAACCUUUCUUGCCACACAUUAUGCAAGUCAUCCUCAUUGAUCAUACAUUUAUAAUUUCUUCACGGUUCGGUAUAUCACAUAUAUUAGGAUGUUAACGCCACUCAUGGGUUGGAUGCUAUAGCAUAAGGAAAAUUGAUAGCCAGCCAUGAUCGUCCAUCCAUCAAUUUAGUUUGCUUUUUCUUCUGUUGUUAGUUUCUACUACUUUGCUAGCUAAGUGAUGUCUAUCUGAAGCUGUGAACCUUAUGAACCCUGAUCUGAAUCUUGGUGUUUGCGAAUUCUGAAUGAAGGGCAUGGAACCGGUCCUUCUAAAUGAAUUUGCUGAUGAGUGUGUUGCAUUGUUGAUUUCAUGGUUAUUCUUCUUUUUGAAUACAUGGCUAUUCUUGGGUUUGAGCCAUAGGCAUGCAGCAAUGAAAUCUAAUUGCAUUGAUGCCGAGAGGCGAGAGGAAAGUUCUCGCCUUGGGCUUGAUCCAGGUCAGGGAGGAUUGGAGAUUGAAUGAAUUUGCUGGGCUUUUCACACUAAUUUAAGGCAGAUAAAAUGAAAAUUAGUUAGAAAAUAGAAGUGACUGGAUAGGGAGAGAGAGAGACUUGUUCGAAACAGAGUGGGGUUGGGAAUAUGACAAAUUUUCAGCUAUGACAAUGAGCAAUAAUUAAACUAUCUGGUGGUUAUGUUGUUCAGCAGGCUGAGUGCACACAAAAUCACUCCAUUCGUUGGAAUAAAAUGAGAAGGCGCGGUGCACACAGACGCUGGUGAAUCCAAGACGCGGCGACUUCUCGGUCCUGCCAUCUAACUAUUGCAUUUACGAGUGAUGCAAUUUUUAAACGGGUUUGGUUUCUGUCAAUAAAUUAAACAUGAAUGAGUCUCCAAAAAUAAAAUACUAUUGCAAAAGGGCCCGUGCGUUGCAACGGGACAAAAAAACAUAUCACAAUCUUCAAUGUAAUUAUGUAACACUUAUUUAAUUCAUUUUUUUCAAACGUCAGAAAUAAAGCUACAUUAAGUAUUUCUUUUUGGACUAUGGAAUUUGGACGUAUCGUAGACAUGUUUGUCAUGACCCAUUUCAGCUCUUCGAUGAAAGAGUUUUUCAAUCAUUUUUAUUUUUGUUGUUCAGAAAAACAUGAAUAUAUAUUUAAUUUGAGAAGGAUUUUUUUUCCUAA